UGAAGGUGUGCUCAGUGGUAAAGCAUUUGCCAAAUGUACAUGAGGCCCUAGGUUCAAUCCCUAGCACUGCAA
rnacentral:tRNA from 1 species